GACGAACGCUGGCGGCGUGCCUAUACAUGCAAGUAGAACGCUGAAGAGAGGAGCUUGCUCUUCUUGGAUGAGUUGCGAACGGGUGAGUAACGCGUAGGUAACCUGCCUGGUAGCGGGGGAUAACUAUUGGAAACGAUAGCUAAUACCGCAUAAAAUUGAUUAUUUCAUGAUAAUUAAUUUAAAGAUGCAACUGCAUUACUACCAGAUGGACCUGCGUUGUAUUAGCUAGUUGGUGAGGUAACGGCUCAACAAGGCGACGAUACAUAGCCGACCUGAGAGGGUGAUCGGCCACACUGGGACUGAGACACGGCCCAGACUCCUACGGGAGGCAGCAGUAGGGAAUCUUCGGCAAUAGGGGGAACCCUGACCGAGCAACGCCGCGUGAGUGAAGAAGGUUUUCGGAUCGUAAAGCUCUGUUGUAAGAGAAGAACGGGUGUGAGAGUGGAAAGUUCACACUGUGACGGUACCUUACCAGAAAGGGACGGCUAACUACGUG
rnacentral:rRNA from 1 species